rnacentral:misc_RNA from 1 species
UUUCCGUAGGUGAACCUGCGGAAGGAUCAUUAUCGUACAAAACGUGUGAGGCGUGUGAGGGCUGUCGCUGACUUUUAAUGCAAAAGUCGUGCACGCCGGAGCAUGUCCUCUCACGUAAAAUCCAUCUCACCCUUUUGUGCACCACCGCGUGGGUGCCCUUCGGGAUCGAACCUGAUCUUGGAGGGGGCUUGCGUUUUCACACAAACCCCCUUUUAAAAGUGUAGAAUGUCCCCAUUUUUGCGAUGACACGCAAUCAAUACAACUUUCAACAACGGAUCUCUUGGCUCUC